UGGGGAAUAUUGCACAAUGGCGGAAGCCUGAUGCAGCAACGCCGCGUGAGUGAUGAAGGCCUUCGGGUUGUAAAGCUCUGUCUUUUUGGGACGAUAAUGACGGUACCAAAAGGGAGGAAGCCCAGGCUAACUACGUGCCAGCAGCCGCGGUAAUACGUAGUGGCAAGCGUUGUCCGGAUUUUACUGGGCGUAAAGGAUGCGUAGGCGGAUUUUUUAAGUGAGAUGUGAAAUACCCCGGGCUUAACUUGGGUGCUGCAUUUCAAACUGGGAAUCUAGAGUGCGGGAGAGGAGAAUGGAUUCCUAGUGUAGCGGUGAAAUGCGUAGAGAUUAGGAAGAAACACCAGUGGCGAAGGCGAUUCUCUGGACCGUAACUGCGCUGAGGCAUGAAAAGCGUGGGUAGCAAAACAGGAUUAGAUACCCCUGGUAGU
rnacentral:rRNA from 1 species